rnacentral:rRNA from 1 species
CAAGACCGGUGCCAGCCGCCGCGGUAAUACCGGCGGCUCGAGUGGUGGCCACUAUUACUGGGCUUAAAGCGUUCGUAGCUGGGUUGUUAAGUCUCUUGGGAAAUCUACCGGCUUAACCGAUAGGCGUCCAAGGGAUACUGGCAAUCUAGGGACCGGGAGAGGUGAGGGGUACUUCAGGGGUAGGAGUGAAAUCCUGUAAUCCUUGGGGGACCACCUGUGGCGUAGGCGCCUCACCAGAACGGCUCCGACAGUGAGGGACGAAAGCUGGGGGAGCAAACCGGAUUAGAUACCCUAGUAGUC